CGACAUCCGACAGUCAUUCUUCUUUCGGUUCUUCUCGCUAUACCCUAUGGUUGAUUCUAUACUACACACACGUGUUGUCCGUAAUUCACAAGUGAAGCAGUAUCUUGUGCGAGAGAAAUGAAGGUUUGCUGAGUCUCUGAAAUUGAUAAUGGCAACAACUCAAGGUUGGCCAAGUCUCUGAAAUUUAUAAUGGCAACAACUCCAGCCAACUUCACACUUAAGCCGCA